UAGGAAUGACUUCCCUCUGAUCAUUUGAAAUCUGACCCUAUGCAGUUUUCACCUCCUGGCUGAGUUGGCUAGAAAGUCCUGAGUAUGGCAGAUUCCUUCCUCCCUGUGAGGACACUGGACAUUUGAAAGCAGACCUCUGAGGAAUCAAAUCCCUUAAGCUUGCAGCUCCUCUCAAGACAAGGUUUCUACACAGAGCCAACUGAGGGAGAAGCAGCAGCCACGGAUGGGGCAGCCUGGAGCUAUGGUCAGUCUGCCAAACGUGUGCGGCAGGCCGUAAAGCACACGCAGCUGUGCCUGGCGGGCAGUUGCCACCACCCAGGUGUCGAGACCAAGAGGAAUCAUAGGGGAAAGAAGAGUUUUCAGCAAACGAUACCGGGGAGAACAAAUAUCCAAAAGAUAUUUGAGGGACUGGAAAGAUAGCACUGGCUGCUCUUCCAGAGGACCCAGCACCCACAAGGCAGCUCACAACUGCAACUCCAGUUCCAGAGGACCUGACACCGCCACACGGACAUGCAUGCAGACAAAACACCAAUGCAAGAUGGUUCAGCAGAAUUCCUGGCCCCAAUGAGCUGCCAUGAAACUCGAGCUGGGUCUGUCUGCCUUUUUGCUUCUUUCCUUCUGCUACUGGACAAGGCCCGACUAUCCUGGAAGUCACUCUGCAGACCAGGCUGGCCUCGAACUCAGAGAUCCACCUGCCUCUUCCCCGGAAAUGCUGGGAUUAAAGUCGUGUGUCAUCAC